CUUGCCAUUGGGAAUGAACUCAUUGCGUGGAAGGAUAAAGGUAUUUCUGAGAAGGAAGGUUUAUUAACUUUUCUGUCUUCUGUUUUUCGGUAAGUCAUGAGAUGGAAGUUUUUCAUGUUUAUAUGAUAAACUUCUCUAAACAUCUUAUUAAAGGAAAUGAAGAAAGUAAGAGGAUUUGGGCUUGAAGGCUUAAACAUCUCUAAACAUGGUUGCGCUUCCACUUCUGCAAAGCAUUCCCUCCUUCGCAUGCGCUUCUUCCUUUCGCGUCUUAUCUAGGUUUUGCCAGGUCCGAGGAAUAUGUAUUGCCAUCCCGACUGCUGACUGCCGCCUGCCCGCCUCGUUUCUAAACGAUAGGUGAGUUUUUUUUUUGUUUCUUUUGGUAGCUUGAAUUCAGUUUUAUUAAUUUUGUUUUUAGUUUUUAGAGAUUUAGUUAAGUUUGUCAUUCAAUUUGUGAGUUAAUUGCUGUUUUUUAUGCUUGAUUUGAGCUUGGAGGUUUCUCGCUAAACGCCGGCUUGCUGCUUGCUUAGAUAAUUGCUUAAUUUGUGUGUUAAUUGUUGUUAAUUACCGCUUAGUUGCUGCCUUGCAAUACUGGUAAUGGUAAUUGGUAUUAUCGUAGGAAUUUUACCAUUUGCAAUUGGGGUUCAAAGACAUAUUUAAAAAAGUGAAGGAUGAUGAGAAUGCGAAGGCUAUAUCUUUAUUCAGCAAUGUGGUAAAUCUCAAUGAUGCUAUUGAAGAUCCAGUGAAACGUUUAGAGCAUCUCGUUAGAGGAAUCUUUGCUGGAAAUAUAUUUGACCUUGGCUCUGCACAGCUUGCAGAGGUAUUCUCAAAGGAUGGGAUGUCCUUUCUGGCCAGUUGUCAGAACCUUGUCCCUCGACCCUCGGUUAUUGAUGACCUUGAGACUUUCAAAUUGCAGUGGAUAUAAGAAGUCCUGGCAAAAGGCUGUGAUUUUUGUUGAUAAUUCUGGUGCAGAUAUCAUCGUAGGAAUUUUACCAUUUGUAAGGGAAUUACUGCGUCGUGGUACACAGGUU